GGGAAUAAGGAAAGCGCUGAGCACCUCACAGAGAAGCUGACCGGCAGUGUGGGCUGCCCGGGGACACGCCGCCUUCAUUAAGAAUCCCUCUCCCUGCUGCUCUGCACAAUGCGCUGCCACGACGGGACAGCAGAGCAGGCUUCAGGGCCUCCUGCUCAGUACCCAGCACAGCAAACAUCUCCCACGGGUUUUGCAGCCCAGCUACAGACACACAAAGUGCUCUGGCGUUCAUUAGCUCAGCGAGUAUUUGUCAAGUAACUGUCUUCCCCCAGCGAAGCUGCCAGGAGCUGCACAAGAAGCCUGACGUGAACCAUUCCGGUGGACCACACUGCUCUGGCGCCACUGAAGCGAGGGGGAGGCGUGGCCCCAGCACUGCGUUAGCAGGUGGCAGCCUGCGGCUGACCCGUGUGGGGGACUCGAGCGCGAGCUACACAACGCUGAUGCUCUCCAAGGAAGCCAGCAGCACUCUCGGUACCGUGGGAAGUUUUUAAUGGCUCGCUCAAGGCAAGGCCUCUAAAAUGUUUAUAUUAAUGCUCGCAUGUUGGAUAGCCACUCGCUCACUCUCAGCUGGAAAGCAGUCCAAGCAGCUGAGAAACAUCUGGCCGCUACCCUUGGACAACAUUUAAUCUGGUAGCCCAGGGAUUUAAGAGGUCUCUUUGGAAGGAAAGAAGUUUGGCAAAUAUCUUACUGCGAUCUCUGUUCUGCUGUUUCCCAAGCCCAGUCGUUGCCCCAGCGUCACACACAGGCGCUCUUUAUCAUGACCCUAUUUACAUAGCCCAGCAGCCGAGCCCCAGCGCUUACAGGCAGCUGUAAUUAAGCAUUACCCCCAAUUUCCAGGAAUACUCCUGAAGGUGUGGGCCCGUGUGCGCAUCCUGCUGGCAUGCUCCCCCCUGCUCCGAGGGAAGAGAAAGCAGUUGGCUGUCAACUCCCAGCCCCCCUGCUCACCCCGACACCCUGCCCCAGCCCCAGCAUGCUCAGGCCCUGCAUUGCCAGCCCCGCUGCCUUACCCCGUCCCGCACUGCACCUGGCAGCACUCACACCCCACAGAUCAGCACCUAUCUGCCCCACAGCCUGUGCCACGAGGCACACAACUCCCCUGUUCUCUGCUGUGUUUAUCAGGCAAAUGCUGGGCAAGGGGGUUUAAAGCAGACGUGUAAAGAGAGAAGGGAAAAGGGACUCGUUUCUGAGAGGGAGCUCAGAGCCUGCUUCCCCUCGCUUUCCAGAACUCUUGCCUCUUCCUCCCUACCCCAAGAAAUUUUGUCGUUGGCUAUCCUGACACUUUCUUUGAUGAGUGGAGAGCUAAUGAAAUAAGAUAAAAAUGUUGAGCAAGUGAAAGAAAGGGACUUUUAGACAGGAUCUGACAUUUAUUCUCCCCUCUCGUUACCCAUCACCGUACCGCAAGGCUUUCUAGACAAGUCAGGGCAAAGCCGCCAACAACCUAGCUUGCGAGGUAGAAAAUUAGGACAGGACCCACAUUUCUGAAAACCCUUUGUAGGCUUUAUUCAAAAGGAGAUAAGGCUGAAAAAGGCGACAAGAUGCUCGACAGACAUAAAGCGAUGAGAAUCUACCUUAUCUCCUUAUCUUCCACGUUGUCUUCUGCUCUUUGCUUUUUUGUUGCAACAAACAGGGGAGACGUGGGGAAAAUGUAAGGGCACAAACAGAGGGCACACAGCACCCAGAAGGGAUGGAUAGGGAGAAGACACUCAAUAAAAGCUAAAAACGUCUCUUUCCUAGCAGGGGCUGAGCAUCCUGGCUCUGCUCCAGCAAAGCACUUAAGCGUGUGCCUAACUCCUAUUUGACUUCACUUGGGCCCUUCACAGGCUUGAAAGUUAAGCACCUUCCCCAGCAAUCUGCUGCAGCAGGACCGGAGAAAACGAGAAGCUGUUAAGGGACCUGACUCUUAGUCAACAGCAAAGUUAACGGGCUUUUGGAUAGCAUCUGAGCCAAGGAUUAAUGCAAGAUGGCAAUUUCCACCGACUUAGGAAAACUCUGAGCCACCAGAGAAAACUUAAAUUUAAAUUAUUAAGUUGAAAAAAAAAAAAGAUAUUAAGAAUAUCAUCAGAUUUCUUCACCGUCUUUGAGCUUGAGGUAGGUAGAGCUUGAAGUAGGCACAUAUUUACAGGUACGUGCAGAACUGGAACUCCCUUGUUUCAGAGCAAGCAAAUGCCAGCUUAAAAAAAAUACUGAAUUCCCUGUGCUGUUCCUUGGUGCAGGAAACGCUGCCAGGUUGAGGCUAAGCUAACCUCAGACGCCUAACGGCCAAUUACUGCAAACAGCAAGGUAAGCCGCAAGCAGCACCUACAACUCUAAGCAAGACACUACAAAGACUGAUAUUUGGAAAGGGAGUGAGCGCACAUCUCAUCGCUUCUUACGCUGUCAAGGACUCUUGAAAAAGUCUCUGGCUUCUGUUUCCCUUGCUAAAAUUGGCAGAACUUGACGCUGCAUCUGCCUGGUACUUCCAGAGGGAGCUCUGGUAUCGCAGCUCUCAAGCACAGCUAAGAUAAAACAUUUGGGCUGCUCUGUUGUUUGGUUGGGCUGUUUGCCCAAGAAUUAGGGGCACAACUGCAUUCAGCUCUGCAUGCACUGCCUGCUGCUCCUGCCGUGCUGCUGUUUGUCCCUGUAUGAAUCCAGGCUGAAACUCCGACAGCACUGGCAUCGCACAGAGCAGCUGUUGACACUUUUUGGCUUAAAAGUUGUUAAUCUAAAACUUUAAGUUUCUUUCAUCAUCAUUAAGUCCAAAGCACUGAGUUAAGAGUUCAGAAAAGGCAUAUUUAAGCACAUGCUCCCCAAAAACACAUGGAGUUUAAUUACAGCAAAGCAAGAAGCAAGGAACAGGCAGUGUUUAUUAAGAAGUAAAACCUCACUGCACUGCUGGUCUCCCCUUAAUGCCUCUGCAGUGAGAAAGCCGUGUUAAACAGGUUUUUAAAACUGAAAAUGAUUCAGGAGAAGUAUGAAAAGCGGUUCCCACAAGAGGAGUUAACAUCGAAGUGAAGCAGCCCUUGCACUUUGCUUGGACCAAAGCGUUGCAAAGCCUGCUAGCUCCCUCUGCCGUCCCCACGCCAGCAGCUGAGUCGAACACGCUCCGCGACCACCGCCGGCACUGCGGGUGAGGUUUUAUGGAUGUGUCCGGGGCAUUUGCAACCACGACGCCUUGCGCAAACCCCCGAGGCAGCAGCAGGAGCAGGCAGAGGGCAAGGUCCUGCUCAAACCACAGCCUCUUCCCUGAGCAACGCUUCAGUCACUUCCAGCAGUACCGGCUCCAGGGAACAGCAUCUAUUUUAUGGCCAACGCACUUAUUACCUCUUCGUAUCUUUCCCUUCAGACACACCAGUUCAGGACAUAAACCAACGGUGAGCAAGGAUCAACUCUCAAGUGCCGUGCCUUUAUACUGCCAGAGGUAGAAUAAAUACAGAGAAGAGGUGAGGUCAUUCCCCGACUUCAUUUCUGAAGUGUGACCCAGCACCCAGAAACCCACAGUGCCUGUGGGAUGACUGAUCCCUUCCACGA